rnacentral:tRNA from 4 species
GGAGGGGUAGUGAAGUGGCUAAACACGACGGACUGUAAAUCCGUUCCUUCGGGUUCGGCGGUUCGAAUCCGCCCCCCUCCACCA